UACGGGGGGAGCAAGCGUUGUUCGGAUUUACUGGGCGUAAAGGGCGCGUAGGCGGUCAGCACAAGUCAGUUGUGAAAUCUCCGGGCUUAACUCGGAAAGGUCAGCCGAUACUGCGGGGCUAGAGUGCAGAAGGGGCAACUGGAAUUCUCGGUGUAGCGGUGAAAUGCGUAGAUAUCGAGAGGAACACCUGCGGCGAAGGCGGGUUGCUGGGCUGACACUGACGCUGAGGCGCGAAAGCUAGGGGAGCGAACGGG
rnacentral:rRNA from 1 species